rnacentral:rRNA from 1 species
AGCGUAGACGGAGUGGCAAGUCUGAUGUGAAAACCCGGGGCUCAACCCCGGGACUGCAUUGGAAACUGUCAAUCUAGAGUACCGGAGAGGUAAGCGGAAUUCCUAGUGUAGCGGUGAAAUGCGUAGAUAUUAGGAGGAACACCAGUGGCGAAGGCGGCUUACUGGACGGUAACUGACGUUGAGGCUCGAAAGCGUGGGGAGCAACA